AGCUUUGUACGGUGGCAAUAGCCAAUGAGGUUUAUCUGAGGUGUGAGUAUUGCUAAUGGAAAACCUUUCCCAAUACCUCACUAUGAGAACUUAUGAUGUAGUUGCCAUUGGCAGUUUUUGACUGUCUCUAUAAGUCUGAACAGA
ensembl:snRNA U4 U4 spliceosomal RNA